rnacentral:rRNA from 1 species
AGAGUUUGAUCCUGGCUCAGAAUCAACGCUGGCGGCGUGCCUAACACAUGCAAGUCGAACGAGAAAGUGGAGCAAUCCAUGAGUAAAGUGGCGCACGGGUGAGUAACACGUGACUAACCUACCCUUGAGUGGGGGAUAACCUGGGGAAACCUUGGCUAAUACCGCAUAACACCUACGGGUCAAAGGAGCAAUUCGCUUAAGGAGGGGGUCGCGGCAGAUUAGUUAGUUGGCAGGGUAAUGGCCUACCAAGACAGUGAUCUGUAUCCGGCCUGAGAGGGCGCACGGACACACUGGAACUGAAACACGGUCCAGACUCCUACGGGAGGCAGCAGUGGGGAAUUUUGCGCAAUGGGGGAAACCCUGACGCAGCAACGCCGCGUGGAGGAUGAAGUCCCUUGGGACGUAAACUCCUUUCGACCGGGACGAUUAUGACGGUACCGGAAGAAGAAGCCCCGGCUAACUUCGUGCCAGCAGCCGCGGUAAUACGAGGGGGGCGAGCGUUGUUCGGAAUUAUUGGGCGUAAAGGGUGCGUAGGCGGUUCGGUAAGUUUUGUGUGAAAUCUUCGGGCUCAACUCGAAGCCUGCACAAGAUACUGCCGGGCUUGAGUGUGGGAGAGGUGAGUGGAAUUUCCGGUGUAGCGGUGAAAUGCGUAGAUAUCGGAAGGAACACCUGUGGCGAAAGCGGCUCACUGGACCACAACUGACGCUGAGGCACGAAAGCUAGGGGAGCAAACAGGAUUAGAUACCCUGGUAGUCCUAGCCCUAAACGAUGAUCGCUUGGUGUGACGGGUACCCAAUCCCGCCGUGCCGCAGCUAACGCGUUAAGCGAUCCGCCUGGGGAGUACGGUCGCAAGGCUGAAACUUAAAGGAAUUGACGG